AACGAACGCUGGCGGCAGGCUUAACACAUGCAAGUCGAGCGCCCCGCAAGGGGAGCGGCAGACGGGUGAGUAACGCGUGGGAAUCUACCCAUCUCUACGGAAUAACGCAUGGAAACGUGUGCUAAUACCGUAUACGUCCUUCGGGAGAAAGAUUUAUCGGAGGUGGAUGAGCCCGCGUUGGAUUAGCUAGUUGGUGGGGUAAAGGCCUACCAAGGCGACGAUCCAUAGCUGGUCUGAGAGGAUGAUCAGCCACACUGGGACUGAUCCACGGCCCAGACUCCUACGGGAGGCAGCAGUGGGGAAUAUUGGACAAUGGGCGCAAGCCUGAUCCAGCCAUGCCGCGUGAGUGAUGAAGGCCCUAGGGUUGUAAAGCUCUUUCACCGGUGAAGAUAAUGACGGUAACCGGAGAAGAAGCCCCGGCUAACUUCGUGCCAGCAGCCGCCGUAACAC
rnacentral:rRNA from 1 species